AGAGAAAAAUGGGAUGCUCUGGAUAAUCUCUUGGUAGAAACCUUUGCAAGCAUCAUGGAGAAAAUCCUUGAGAACUCUAGAGACCUCACUGAGACUGAAGAGCGGGGGCGUCUCCUCGAGCUCCUUGUGCUGCUGACCAGCGAGUCCUGCCAAGCAUUACUAUUAGCUUCUUACCUCAAGUGUGCUUGGUCCUCCRUUUACUAGGAAGCAAAGGACAGGGAUCUCAAUGCUACCUGUUCCUGUGAAAUAGAUGUCCAAAAGCAAUGUACAAGUCACCAAUCACUACUUUGGGGAUCUGCAGUGGGAUAACUACAGGGAUAAGGCCGAAUUGCACUGUAGUCUGGAGAAGAUUGAGGACUUUCUACCAGUGUGGGAAGAAUUCAAGACUCUCUCUGCAAGAUGGUAUGAAAGUGUACGGGAGAGAACAUGCCUGCCUUAGAGUCACU